AACACUGAAAAUACAUGAGGUCUAUGUGCCUGACCCCGUCUGGUCUCGGAAGCUAAGCAGCGUCGGGCCUGGUUACUACUUGGAUGGGAAACCAUCUAGGAAGACCUGGUGCUGCAGGUG
rnacentral:rRNA from 1 species